UUGGCAUCAAGCAAUUAAGCAAAGUUUUAAGCAUUCAAAGAAUUGUAAAGCUCUCGAAGUUCUCUUAAUAAAAGAGUUCUUUCUUCCAACUACUAGUUUCCUUCGCCAAGUUUCUACAAGCUUAGUCUUUCUUAAGUUCUACUAAGCUUCCAGGUAGGCUGACUAGCUAACUUUGGCAUUGAAAAUUCGCUAGGCCGGACAGAUCGUCGUGUUUGAGUUACUGUCUUGUCAC
rnacentral:lncRNA from 1 species